AACCGGGAGAUAGCUGGUUCUCCCCGAAAGCUAUUUAGGUAGCGCCUCGUGAAUUCAUCUCCGGGGGUAGAGCACUGUUUCGGCUAGGGGGCCAUCCCGGCUUACCAACCCGAUGCAAACUGCGAAUACCGGAGAAUGUUAUCACGGGAGACACACGGCGGGUGCUAACGUCCGUCGUGAAGAGGGAAACAACCCAGACCGCCAGCUAAGGUCCCAAAGUCAUGGUUAAGUGGGAAACGAUGUGGGAAGGCCCAGACAGCCAGGAUGUUGGCUUAGAAGCAGCCAUCAUUUAAAGAAAGCGUAAUAGCUCACUGGUCGAGUCGGCCUGCGCGGAAGAUGUAACGGGGCUAAACCAUGCACCGAAGCUGCGGCAGCGACGCUUAUGCGUUGUUGGGUAGGGGAGCGUUCUGUAAGCCUGUGAAGGUGGCCUGUGAGGGU
rnacentral:rRNA from 1 species